GCUGGGCAUGGUGUCCAUUUCUAUAAUCCCUCCUACUAGUGAGACUGAGGCUGGAGGAUCACUUGAGUUCAGGAGUUUUGAGUUGUAGUAGGGCUACAGUUGGUGAGGUGUCCACACUAAGUCUGGCACCAAUAUGGUGAGCCUAUGGGAGCUGGGGGGUCACUAAGUUGCUUUAAGGAGGGAUGAACCAGCCCAUGUUGGAAAUGGAACAAGCUGAAACUUCUGUGCUGAUCAGCGAUGGGAUUGGGCCCAGGAGAGGCCAGUACGCUUCUAGACUAGGUGAGAUAGGGAGACCCAGUUUAA
rnacentral:SRP_RNA from 1 species